rnacentral:rRNA from 1 species
GUCGAACGNCAGCACGGGGGCAACCCUGGUGGCGAGUGGCGAACGGGUGAGUAACAUAUCGGAACGUGCCCUGGAGUGGGGGAUAACUAGUCGAAAGAUUAGCUAAUACCGCAUACGAUCUACGGAUGAAAGUGGGGGAUCGCAAGACCUCAUGCUCGUGGAGCGGCCGAUAUCUGAUUAGCUAGUUGGUGGGGUAAAGGCCUACCAAGGCAUCGAUCAGUAGCUGGUCUGAGAGGACGACCAGCCACACUGGGACUGAGACACGGCCCAGACUCCUACGGGAGGCAGCAGUGGGGAAUUUUGGACAAUGGGCGCAAGCCUGAUCCAGCAAUGCCGCGUGAGUGAAGAAGGCCUUCGGGUUGUAAAGCUCUUUUGUCAGGGAAGAAACGGUUCGGGUUAAUACCUUGGGCUAAUGACGGUACUUGAAGAAUAAGCACCGGCUAACUACGUGCCAGCAGCCGCGGUAAUACGUAGGGUGCAAGCGUUAAUCGGAAUUAUUGGGCGUAAAGCGUGCGCAGGCGGUUGUGCAAGACAGAUGUGAAAUCCCCGGGCUCAACCUGGGAAUUGCAUUUGUGACUGUACGGCUAGAGUGUGUCAGAGGGGGGUAGAAUUCCACGUGUAGCAGUGAAAUGCGUAGAGAUGUGGAGGAAUACCGAUGGCGAAGGCAGCCCCCUGGGAUAACACUGACGCUCAUGCACGAAAGCGUGGGGAGCAAACAGGAUUAGAUACCCCUGGUAGUCCACGCCCUAAACGAUGUCUACUAGUU